AAUCAACGCUGGCGGCGUGCCUCAGACAUGAAAGUCGAACGAUUAAAGCUCCCUUCGGGGAGUGCAUAGAGUGGCGCACGGGUGAGUAACACGUAAGUAAUCUACCCUCGAGUGGGGAAUAACGUCCGGAAACGGACGCUAAUACCGCAUAAUGCAGCGGCACCGCAAGGUGACAGUUGUUAAAGAUUUAUCGCUUGAGGAGGAGCUUGCGGCAGAUUAGCUAGUUGGUAAGGUAAUGGCUUACCAAGGCUACGAUCUGUAACCGGUCUAAGAGGACAGUCGGUCACACUGACACUGAAUAACGGGUCAGACUCCUACGGGAGGCAGCAGUCGGGAAUUUUGGGCAAUGGGCGAAAGCCUGACCCAGCAACGCCGCGUGAAGGAUGAAGUAUUUCGGUAUGUAAACUUCGAAAGAAUGGGAAGAAUCAAUGACGGUACCAUUUAUAAGGUCCGGCUAACUACGUGCCAGCCGCCGCAGUAACAC
rnacentral:rRNA from 1 species